GAGACCGUGCCUGAAUGUCUAAGGGCCACUUUGAUAGAGUGGAUUAUGGGGGUUGAACUCCUCCCAGUCUCC
rnacentral:tRNA from 1 species